rnacentral:rRNA from 1 species
CAGCCGUAAACAAUGUGCGUUAGGUAUGUCGGUAACCACGUGUUACUGAUGUGCCGAAGAGAAAUCGUGAAACGCACCACCUGGGAAGUACGGUCGCAAGGCUGAAACUUAAAGGAAUUGGCGGGGGAGCACCGCAACGGGAGGAGCGUGCGGUUUAAUUGGAUUCAACACCGUAAAACUCACCAGGGAAGACUGUUACAUGAAGGCCGAGAUGAAGACUCUGCUAGAUUUUCAGAGAGGAGGUGCAUGGCGUCAGUGACU